UAAGUGGAAGAGAGGGGGUACACAGAAAUGCCUCAGGGGGUACUCCACUCUAAAAAGUCUGGGAACCACUGAUGUAGAACAUUCUGUCCUGUGCAACAA